rnacentral:misc_RNA from 1 species
UCGUAUCUCUGGUGGCGUGGGUGGUGAGGCAACUCCCACUCUAGGUCGUAGCUAUAACCCGUGUUUAUUACCUUUGUUGCUUUGGCGAGCCGCCUCCGGGCGCAGCCUCGGCUGAUCGUGCUCGCCAGAGAACCCAAACUCUUUUGUUUACAGUAUUGUCUGAGUACUAUAUAAUAGUUA